GUGAGGGGCGGGGAGGCAGUGAAACAAGGUUACUCAUUGAAAAAAUGUGGUGAACAGCCGGUAGUUAGGCUGAGCAGGAGGUAGGACAAAAAGAGAAGCAGGGUUGAGGGGAGGUUUCUUUUCUCAUGUAUUUUUAACUAUGAAAUAUUUUGAAAGUAAAAAAAUAAUAUAGCUGGCAACCACGAAUCACCCUUCAGACUUAAGAUGUUAGCAUUUCUGAUGCUUGAUAUGGCUCUUUCCCCCUUUCUUUAAAAAAAAAACAAAAAAAGACUUAGAGGCUUACAGAUUCAGCUAAUUCCCCUCCCAUCCUCACUUCUCCUCUCUCCCUCUUCACUGGUAAUUACCAUCCUUCAGUUAGUAUGAGUCCCUUGCAUUGAAACAAACAAACAAAAACCCCAUGGAGUUCCCAUCAUGGCACAGGGGAAAUGAAUCCCAUUAGGAACCAUGAGGUUGAGAGUUCCAUCCCUGGCCUCCCUCACUGGGUUAAGGAUCUGGCGUUGUCAUGAGCUGUGGUGUAAGUCGCAGACUCCACUCAGAUCCUGCGUUACUGAGUCGUAGGCCGGCAGCUGUAGCUCCAACUGAACCCCCAGUCCGGGAACCUCCACAUGCCGCGGGUGCGGCCCUAACAAGCAAAAAAAAAAAAAAACAAACAAACAAACAAAAAAAAAACAAGGGGACCUCAGGACCUACAGCUUUACUGGUUCACCCACCAAACAAUAAACAAAAAACCCCACAAACAAACAUGUUUAUCGCUCAUACCUGUACCAAUGCAGCGAGAAGAAUGAUUUCGUAGGUUUUAAAAUUCGCACCUCCUAUAAAUACAUGUAGGCAGUCUUUUAAACCUCAGCGUUACUUUGCAGACGGUCCAAGAUGAUCACAGAGCUCUGGUUACUUCAUUUUAAUCCCUGCGUCAUUAAUACGCCAUGUCCCCUCCUGCGUGCUGUUUCCACUUCUCACUUGCACCCACAGUGUAGAGCAUCCGGGGUCAGGCCUCCUCGUGCUCGCGUGGGCGGGUCCACGACCCCGGAAGUGGGGGAAGCCGUGCGUCACUGUGCGUCCGUCUUCACGUUCCCUGGGCGCCGGAGUUCUCGCCCAUGGGGCCGCUGCUCAUUUCGCGAUUCCGCACAGUAUUUGUUUCCAGAGGGGAAAAGCACGAAAACUGAGCCUCCAAGAGGCUGUCCCAGGCCAAAGUCACUGGAAACCGGUGUUGCGAACGCCCACCGAAGAGAAGACCUAUGGGAAGUAAGAGCGCUGUCUUCAAAUAUCAGAAAAUUCAUCGUAAGAGCUGUUUUAUCUGGGCCCGAAGGGUAGAACAAAGCUCUCAGAAGAGGUAGGUUACACAAAGAAAGGGAGUUCCAGUUAACACAAGGAAGAAUGAUCAGUCCUGUGUCAGAAUGU
rnacentral:lncRNA from 1 species